rnacentral:rRNA from 1 species
AUGAGUCUCGUCUAUUCUACCCACGACCAUCCUCCUCGGCCAUUUCAGAUGAGGAUCUCUUUUCUCACGUUUCCUGAUACACGUCCCUCUGUGCCUCGUAUUCCUACUCCUCCUCAUCCCACUACUGCAGAUCCACCGCCACCUCCUACACUUUCGUCUCCUCCCUUGCCGCAUGACUCUCCACCUUCAUCAGCGAUGUCUUCCCCAUCUCCAUCACCUCAUGUGGUUCCUUAUCGUCCCACCUUCCGUUUUCAUUAUACCCAUCGUCCACGUGUUGUGGAUGAUUCUACUGAUGUGCCAUCUACUUCGGGUGCGCCAUCUUCAUCUUCCCAGCCGACUUAUGGUCUUCGGGCUCGACGUUGCCCUCCUCCUGAUCGCUAUUCUCCUAGUCAAUAUGGUCUUUCGAUUGUACUUGAGCCUACCUCUUAUCGUGAUGUUGUUGUUCAUCCUGAAUGGCAGUUUGCGAUGGCAGAGGAGAUUGCCACACUUGAGCGCAACCGCACGUGGGAUCUGGUUUCUCUUCCUCCUCGCGUUCGUCCCAUCACUUGCAAGUGGGUCUAUAAGAUUAAGACCCGCUCUAAUGGUUCUCUUGAGCAUUAUAAAGCUCGUCUUGUGGCUCGUGGCUUUCAACAGGAGCAUGGUCGUGAUUACAACGAGACAUUUGCUCCUGUGGCCCAUAUGACCACUGUCUGCACGCUUCUCGCCGUGGCCUCUGUUCGCCACUGGUCUGCGUCUCAGCUUGAUGUUAAGAAUGCCUUUCUUAAUGGUGAGUUGCGUGAGGAGGUUUAUAUGCAGCCACCACCUGGGUAUUCAGUUCUUGAUGGAAUGGUGUGUCGUCUUCGUCACUCUCUCUAUAGCCUUAAGCAAGCCUCUCGUGCUUGGUUUGAGCAUUUUGCCUUUGUGAUCACCGCAGCUGGUUUUUCUCCCAGUAAUCAUGAUCCAACGUUAUUUGUCCACAUUUCUGCUCGUGGCCGCACUCUUCUUCUUCUAUAUGUUGAUGACAUGAUCAUCACUGGCGACGAUUCUGAGUACAUUGCCUUUGUCAAGGCCCGUCUUAAUGAGACGUUCCUUAUGUCUGAUCUUGGUCCUCUUCAUUACUUUCUUGAGAUUGAGGUUUCCUCCACCUUUGAUGGCUUUUUUAUUUCCCAGGAAAAGUAUAUCCAGGAUCUUCUUGCUCGUGCGGCUCUUAGUGAUGAGCGCACUAUUGAGACUCCUAUGGAGCUCAAUGUUCAUCUUCGCGCUUCUGAUGGUGAGCCCUUGUCUGAUCCGACGCGUUAUCUCAUCUUGUUGGGAGUCUUGUCUAUUUGUCCGUCACUCGUCCAGAUAUCUCUUAUCCUGUUCAUAUUCUAA